rnacentral:rRNA from 1 species
GAUGAACGCUGGCGGCGUGCCUAAUACAUGCAAGUCGAGCGAACGGACGAGAAGCUUGCUUCUCUGAUGUUAGCGGCGGACGGGUGAGUAACACGUGGAUAACCUACCUAUAAGACUGGGAUAACUUCGGGAAACCGGAGCUAAUACCGGAUAAUAUUUUGAACCGCAUGGUUCAAAAGUAAAAGACGGUCUUGCUGUCACUUAUAGAUGGAUCCGCGCUGCAUUAGCUAGUUGGUAAGGUAACGGCUUACCAAGGCAACGAUGCAUAGCCGACCUGAGAGGGUGAUAGGCCACACUAGAACUGAGACACGGUCCAGACUCCUACGGGAGGCAGCAGUAGGGAAUCUUCCGCAAUGGGCGAAAGCCUGACGGAGCAACGCCGCGUGAGUGAUGAAGGUCUUCGGAUCGUAAAACUCUGUUAUUAGGGAAGAACAUAUGUGUAAGUAACUGUGCACAUCUUGACGGUACCUAAUCAGAAAGCCACGGCUAACUACGUG